AUUGAACGCUGGCGGCAUGCCUUACACAUGCAAGUCGAACGGCAGCAUGGAGAGCUUGCUCUCUGAUGGCGAGUGGCGAACGGGUGAGUAAUGCAUCGGAACGUACCGUGUAAUGGGGGAUAACGUAGCGAAAGUUACGCUAAUACCGCAUACGACCUGAGGGUGAAAGAAGGGGAUCGCAAGACCUUGCGUUAUACGAGCGGCCGAUGUCAGAUUAGCUAGUUGGUGAGGUAAAGGCUCACCAAGGCGACGAUCUGUAGCGGGUCUGAGAGGAUGAUCCGCCACACUGGGACUGGGACACGGCCCAGACUCCUACGGGAGGCAGCAGUGGGGAAUUUUGGACAAUGGGGGCAACCCUGAUCCAGCCAUGCCGCGUGAGUGAAGAAGGCCUUCGGGUUGUAAAGCUCUUUCGGCCGGGAAGAAAUCGCACAGGCUAAUACUCUGUGUGGAUGACGGUACCGGCAUAAGAAGCACCGGCUAACUACGUGCCAGCCGCCGCCGUAA
rnacentral:rRNA from 1 species